AUGGCGGCGCUCACCCCCUCCGCCGGCGCCCGCCUCCUCCGCCGCCUCCUCUCCACCGCCGCCGAGGUGGCGCGGGAGGCGGCGCCCGCCGCCGCGAAGAAUCCGAAGAAAGCGGCGGCACGCCCCGUCAGGAAGCGGGCGGCGCGCGCCGUCGCCCCCCAGGACGCGAAGGAGGCGGCGCCUCCCGCGGCAGAGGCGGCGCCGGACGCGGAGGGCGCGAAGAAGGCGGCGGCGGCGGCGGGGACUAAGGACUCGCGCCCGCUGUACCGGCGGCUGUCGGCGCUGGGGAACGCCAGGGAGGGGAGCGUCUCCGCGGUGCUCAACAAGUGGCUGCGGGAGGGCCGGGAGACGCGCUCCGUGGAUCUCGAGCGGUACGUCAAGGAGCUCCGCAGGUACAAGCGCCAUUCCCACGCCCUCGAGUUGAUGGAUUGGAUGGUUCAUACAAAGGGUAUGAACAUGUCUUACACUAACCACGCAAUACGUUUGGAUCUCAUUUACAAAGUGCGUGGGAUCGAGGCAGCUGAAAAAUAUUUCGAUGGCCUUCCUGACCCAGCCAAGAACCAUCGAACCUAUGGUGCACUUCUGAACUGUUAUUGCUCAUCGAAGAAGGAAGAGAAAGCAACGGACCUUUACCGCAAGAUGGAUGAGCUAGGCAUCUCAUCCAGCACUCUGCCCAUCAACAAUCUCAUGUCCCUAUACAUGAAGUUAGGCCAGCAUAAGAAGGUUUGUAGCCUGUUUGAGGAGAUGAAGGAGAAGAAUGUUAAGCCGGAUAACCUGACAUGCUGCAUUCUAAUGACCAGCUGUGCGGCAUUGAACAAGAUAGACGACGUUGAACAAGUUCUAAAAGAAAUGGAAGAAAAGGGUGGGGUUCUAGGGUGGUCGGCAUACAGCACGCUGGCUUCCAUCUACCAGAGUGCUGGUCUGGUUGAAAAAGCAGAGUCUGCUCUGAAGAAACUUGAGGGCCUUGUUCAAGAUCGUGAUGGCAGACAGCCUUUUGAUUUCCUCAUGAGUCUGUAUGCUUCCGUAGGCAAUCUGAGUGAGGUGAAGAGGGUGUGGGGUGUGGUUAAGGGCACUUUCCCAAAAGUGACCAACACGAGCUACUUCAGCAUGCUGCAGGCCCUUCUCAAGCUCAAUGAUGCCGAUUACAUGAAGCAGGUCUUUGAGGAAUGGGAGUCUAAUCAUGAGUGCUACGACGUGAAGCUGACUAACGUGAUGACCCGAGCCCACCUGAGGAAUGACAUGGCCAAGGAAGCAGAGCAGUUGUGGGAGAAGGCCAAGGAAAUGGGUGCGUGUUUCGACUCUAAAACAUGCGAGCUGUUUCUCGACCACUACAUGGGGACAGGGGACAUGAAAUCGGCGCUGAACUGGGUGGAGAAUGUGACGAAGCUCCCCAAGAAAGCAGGGAAGCUGGAUCCUGAUAAGGUCCCGAAGUUCUCCAAGUACUUUGAAGAGCAGAAGGACGUGCAAGGCGCCGAGGGGUUCUGCUGCUGCCUGAGGGCGCUCGGGUGCAUCGACGGCAAAGCCUACGAGUCCCUCCUGCGGACCUAUCUGGCGGCCGGCGAGACGAGCCGCUCCCUCCGGCAGCAGAUCAAAGACGACAAGGUCGAGAUUUGCUACGACAUCGGGAAGCUGCUCAAGAGGCUGGGCGACAAGGGGCGAUGA
rnacentral:rRNA from 1 species